rnacentral:lncRNA from 1 species
GGGUGGGACGCUGAAAGCAGAUGGGGCAUAGAAAAGAAAUGGCGUUAGAAUUAUUUCUGCAUGGAAAUAUUCUACGUGAAAGACUUGUUCCUUCUCACUUCUAUGCCUGCUAAAUAGAGGUGUCUAACAACCUCUAACCACCCCAGAGUAAGAUCAUCCUAACUUUGAUUCAAAUUCAAAUCAAAUUCAAAACUUGAUAAGGAUAAAGCCUUAUUUGGAGGAGAGAGA